UCCUCUGAACGGCCCACCCCAACUCGACGAACUUGCCCCCAUCGCUUUCAACGCCCUCUCGCACCAGGAACCCGCGCCGCCGCCGUCGUUCCCCACCAGGAACCCGUGCCGCCGCCGUUGUCCCCCACCAGGGACCCGCGCCGACGAGGGGCUCCAGCAUCCCUGAAGCCAACCCCUGCACGCGCCCCUCCACCAACCCAGAGCGCUGCCGCCCGAUGCAGGUCGCCGCCGAGCGCAGCCACAUAUGGAUCCGGCCGAAGCCGGCCAGAUCCCGUCUCCACCUCGCCGUCUGCGCCGCCCCGCACAGCGCAUCGCCGGGCCCCAACAGCAACCAGGGCCGUCCCCCCACCAGCAUCCCGUGCCGGCGCCACUUGCAUCCAUGGUGGGCUGCUGGAUGUCGUCUCCUCCUCUGCGUUGAGCCCUGCUGGAGCCCCUCAUCCUCAACAGGAUGUCGACCACCUAGGGCCAAAGGAAGCAAGCCGUCGUCGCUCUCCGAUGCUCCGGUGAGUGAAAACUCCAGGUUAUGAAGUUCCUCAUUGACACGGCGAAGUCGCUCACAACGCUGGUGCUGUAGUGCAUGACCAAGCACCACGAGGCGCCUGACAUGUCUUUGGUCACCACCAAGGUCUACAAGCUCUUCUUGGAGGUGUAGAACUCCGCCGACAAUGUUCCGCAUCCCCGCCAACAUCUCCAUCUCCAUGGCCCAGGCUGCAACACCUACCAGGAAGCUUCAGCGCCCUGCUGCUAGCACAUGAAGCGCUCGUGCAUUGAAUUGUUUUGGUCGGAGUUCAGAUAACUGAAUCAGAGAGGUUGCUCUAGAACUGGAGUAGUAUACUUCAAAGUUCAGAUAACUGAAUGCUACUUCAGAUUUCAGCUAACUGAAUGCUCGGCCACUGGAAGCUGAAGGCUAGAAGCUGUAAAAGGAUAUUCAGAAGUUCGAAGAAGACUUUCAGAAAAGUUCAAAAUCAAGAAAGAGCAUUAGAAAAGCAAUUAUUAAAAUAAAAAUUAGUGCAUUGGUCCGUGCGUCCUGGGUGUGGUGUCUCGUUUGUGUGUGCAUGCACACCUUGUGGGUGCUCGUGU